rnacentral:rRNA from 1 species
GACGAACGCUGGCGGCGUGCCUAAUACAUGCAAGUUGAGCGAUGAAGCUUGGUGCUUGCACCAAUUUGAAGAGCAGCGAACGGGUGAGUAACGCGUGGGGAAUCUGCCUUUGAGCGGGGGACAACAUUUGGAAACGAAUGCUAAUACCGCAUAACAACUUUAAACAUAAGUUUUAAGUUUGAAAGAUGCAAUUGCAUCACUCAAAGAUGAUCCCGCGUUGUAUUAGCUAGUUGGUGAGGUAAAGGCUCACCAAGGCGAUGAUACAUAGCCGACCUGAGAGGGUGGUCGGCCACAUUGGGACUGGGACAAGGCCCAAACUCCUACAGGAGGCAACAGUAGGGAAUCUUCGGCAAAGGACGAAAGUCUGACCGAGGAACGCCGGGUGAGUGGAGGAGGUUUUCGGGUCGUAAAACUCUGUUGGUAGGGGAGGACGUUGGUGGGAGUGGAAAGCUCAUCAAGUGACGGUAACUACCCAGAAAGGGACGGCUAACUACGUG